rnacentral:lncRNA from 10 species
ACACUCAUUUUACUCAGCAUUCCUGGAGGGCAAGAGGGCAAUUCCUAAGGGCCUGUCUAUGGCGGUGCAGCUAAUGGGAAAACAGGAGAGGAGCCUGCCACUCUAGCAAAGAGAAUUUCCAGCUCUGCGUCUCCAGGGAGUAAGAAAAGAGAAAUGGAAAAUAGAAAACAAAGCUGGCUGCUUCAACAGUAACUCAGUGCUCUCCAUAACAGCAAUCCCAUGCAUGGUCUCCAGAGGUACAUCUCAGUUCCCUUUUCAAUACCCAAAGCAAUUUUCCUGAGAGAUUGGAAAAUCAGGAGGAGGCAAGCCGAUGACAUUUUGAUUGCAGGCCCCACUCGGAGAGGCAUUGUGGAACUUUCUGGUUAACAAAGUUAAAACCAAAACAAAGUAAAUGACGAAUCCACCACCUCAAUCUGCAUUGUAUUUUUUGUUUUUAAAGAAAAUGGUAAAACUUUUGCUGCUGCUUUUAGUGACUGAGAUUUUCAAGAGUGGAUUGAAGAAAUUAUUAUCAGUCUGUUUGGCAGCUAAGAAACCUGCUUUGAGAUGGGUAGUUGCUUAUUAAUAAUACUGCUUUCCACUUCAGCCUCAUCUGUAAGGCACUGAACUAGCUGCUACUGGGUCUUCAACCUACCUUCAGACUUCUACUGCAUGAAGUCUUUCCACAUCUACUGUGAGAUGGAUCACUUCUUCUCCGUUCCCAGCACUUUUUGGGUAUCUCUCCUAUGUCAUAGGAGAGACAUUACAUCUAUGUAAUAGAUGUAAUGAUGUUGUACAAGGCUGAGCAACCUCAGCCUUGCUCUAAAAUUAUUUACAUCAUAGUUUACCAUUCUUUGAGGGUGGCACUUUGCAUUUCAUAGAAUAAUUGAACAUUUAGAGAAUUAAUUGAAUGAAUGCAUGGAUGCAGAGUUGGAUGGAGGAAUGGAUACAUGAUGGUAGAU